CCUACGGGAGGCAGCAGUGAGGAAUAUUGGUCAAUGGGCGCGAGCCUGAACCAGCCAAGUCGCGUGAGGGAAGACGGUCCUAUGGAUUGUAAACCUCUUUUGUCGGGGAGCAAAGGACGCCACGCGUGCCGUUCCGAGAGUACCCGAAGAAAAAGCAUCGGCUAAAUCCGUGCCAGGCGCCGCGGGUAUAAGGAGGGAUCGAGCGUUAUCCGGAUUUAUUGGGGUUAAAGGGUGCGAAGGCGGAAGAUUAAGUCAGAGGUAAAAUUGAGGGGUGAAACCCCGGCCCGCCGUUGAAACUGGGGACCGUGAGUGCGCGAGAGGUAGGCGGAAUGCGUGGUGUAGCGGUGAAAGGCAUAGAUAUCACGCAGAACUCCGAUUGCGAAGGCAGCAUACCGGCGCGCAACUGACGCUGAGGCACGAAAGCGUGGGGAUCGAACAGGAUUAGAUACCCUUGUAGUC
rnacentral:rRNA from 1 species